rnacentral:rRNA from 1 species
GACGAACGCUGGCGGCGUGCUUAACACAUGCAAGUCGAACGGAAAGGCCCUGCUUUUGUGGGGUGCUCGAGUGGCGAACGGGUGAGUAACACGUGAGUAACCUGCCCUUGACUUUGGGAUAACUUCAGGAAACUGGGGCUAAUACCGGAUAGGAGCUCCUGCUGCAUGGUGGGGGUUGGAAAGUUUCGGCGGUUGGGGAUGGACUCGCGGCUUAUCAGCUUGUUGGUGGGGUAGUGGCUUACCAAGGCUUUGACGGGUAGCCGGCCUGAGAGGGUGACCGGCCACAUUGGGACUGAGAUACGGCCCAGACUCCUACGGGAGGCAGCAGUGGGGAAUAUUGCACAAUGGGCGGAAGCCUGAUGCAGCGACGCCGCGUGCGGGAUGACGGCCUUCGGGUUGUAAACCGCUUUCGCCUGUGACGAAGCGUGAGUGACGGUAAUGGGUAAAGAAGCGCCGGCUAACUACGUGCCAGCAGCCGCGGUGAUACGUAGGGUGCGAGCGUUGUCCGGAUUUAUUGGGCGUAAAGGGCUCGUAGGUGGUUGAUCGCGUCGGAAGUGUAAUCUUGGGGCUUAACCCUGAGCGUGCUUUCGAUACGGGUUGACUUGAGGAAGGUAGGGGAGAAUGGAAUUCCUGGUGGAGCGGUGGAAUGCGCAGAUAUCAGGAGGAACACCAGUGGCGAAGGCGGUUCUCUGGGCCCUUCCUGACGCUGAGGAGCGAAGGCGUGGGGAGCGAACAGGCUUAGAUACCCUGGUAGUCCACGCUGUAAACGGUGGGUACUAGGUGUGGGGUCCAUUCCACGGGUUCCGUGCCGUAGCUAACGCUUUAAGUACCCCGCCUGGGGAGUACGGCCGCAAGGCUAAAACUCAAAGGAAUUGACGGGGCCCCGCACAAGCGGCGGAGCAUGCGGAUUAAUUCGAUGCAACGCGUAGAACCUUACCUGGGUUUGACAUGGAUCGGGAGUGCUCAGAGAUGGGUGUGCCUCUUUUGGGGUCGGUUCACAGGUGGUGCAUGGCUGUCGUCAGCUCGUGUCGUGAGAUGUUGGGUUAAGUCCCGCAACGAGCGCAACCCUUGUUCACUGUUGCCAGCACGUUAUGGUGGGGACUCAGUGGAGACCGCCGGGGUCAACUCGGAGGAAGGUGGGGAUGACGUCAAGUCAUCAUGCCCCUUAUGUCCAGGGCUUCACGCAUGCUACAAUGGCUGGUACAGAGAGUGGCGAGCCUGUGAGGGUGAGCGAAUCUCGGAAAGCCGGUCUCAGUUCGGAUUGGGGUCUGCAACUCGGCCUCAUGAAGUCGGAGUCGCUAGUAAUCGCAGAUCAGCAACGCUGCGGUGAAUACGUUCCCGGG